AAUCAACGCUGGCGGCGUGCCUAACACAUGCAAGUCGCACGAGAAAGGGACUUCGGUCCUGAGUACAGUGGCGCACGGGUGAGUAACACGUGACUUAUCUACCCUCGAGUGGGGAAUAACCUAGAGAAAUCUGGGCUAAUACCGCAUAACACUUACGAGUCAAAGCAGCAAUGCGCUUGAGGAGGAGGUCGCGGCCGAUUAGCUAGUUGGCGGGGUAAUGGCCCACCAAGGCGAUGAUCGGUAUCCGGCCUGAGAGGGCGCACGGACACACUGGAACUGAAACACGGUCCAGACUCCUACGGGAGGCAGCAGUGGGGAAUUUUGCGCAAUGGGCGAAAGCCUGACGCAGCGACGCCGCGUGAGGGAUGAAGGCCUGGUUGUAACCGUAC
rnacentral:rRNA from 1 species